UACGUAGGGUGCAAGCGUUGUCCGGAAUUAUUGGGCGUAAAGAGCUCGUAGGCGGUCUGUUGCGUCGGCUGUGAAAACCCGGGGCUCAACUCCGGGCCUGCAGCCGAUACGGGCAGACUAGAGUUCGGCAGGGGAGACUGGAAUUCCUGGUGUAGCGGUGAAAUGCGCAGAUAUCAAGAGGAACACCGGUGGCGAAGGCGGGUCUCUGGGCCGAUACUGACGCUGAGGAGCGAAAGCGUGGGGAGCGAACAGG
rnacentral:rRNA from 1 species